rnacentral:rRNA from 1 species
UACGGGGGGGGCAAGCGUUGUUCGGAAUUACUGGGCGUAAAGGGCUCGUAGGCGGCCAACUAAGUCAGACGUGAAAUCCCUCGGCUUAACCGGGGAACUGCGUCUGAUACUGGAUGGCUUGAGUAGAGUUGAAGUGGGCGGAAUUGACGGUGUAGCGGUGAAAUGCUUAGAUAUCGUCAAGAACACCGAUAGUGAAGACAGCUCACUAAGCUCAAACUGACGCUGAGGCACGAAAGUGUGGGGAUCAAACAGG